UACGUAGGGUGCGAGCGUUGUCCGGAAUUACUGGGCGUAAAGAGCUCGUAGGUGGUUGGUCACGUCUGCUGUGGAAACGCAACGCUUAACGUUGCGCGGGCAGUGGGUACGGGCUGACUAGAGUGCAGUAGGGGAGUCUGGAAUUCCUGGUGUAGCGGUGAAAUGCGCAGAUAUCAGGAGGAACACCGAUGGCGAAGGCAGGUCUCUGGGCCACUACUGACGCUGAGAAGCGAAAGCAUGGGGAGCGAACAGGAUUAGA
rnacentral:rRNA from 1 species